UUGACCUCAAAUCAGUAGGACUACCCGCUGAACUUAAGCAUAUCAAUAAGCGGAGGAAGAG
rnacentral:rRNA from 1 species